AUUACCUCAGUAACGGCGAGUGAAGCGGUAACAGCUCAAAUUUGAAAUCUGGGCCUUUCAGGCUCCGAGUUGUAAUUUGUAGAAGAUGCUUUGGGUGCGGCCCCGGUCUAAGUUCCUUGGAACAGGACGUCAUAGAGGGUGAGAAUCCCGUAUGUGAUCGGUGGCCUGCGCCCGUGUAAAGCUCUUUCGACGAGUCGGGUUGUUUGGGAAUGCAGCUCUAAAUGGGUGGUAAAUUUCAUCUAAAGCUAAAUAUUGGCCAGAGACCGAUAGCGCACAAGUAGAGUGAUCGAAAGAUGAAAAGCACUUUGGAAAGAGAGUUAAACAGUACGUGAAAUUGUUGAAAGGGAAGCGCUUGCAACCAGACUUGCGCGGGGUUGAUCAUCCGGGGUUCUCCCCGGUGCACUCGGCCCCGCUCAGGCCAGCAUCGGUUUCGGUGGUUGGAUAAAGGCCUUGGGAAUGUGACUUCCUUCGGGGAGUGUUAUAGCCCCUCGGUGCAAUGCAGCCUACCGGGACCGAGGACCGCGCUUCGGCUAGGAUGCUGGCGUAAUGGUUGUAAGCGACCCGUCUUGAAACACGGACCAAGGAGUCUAACAUCUAUGCGAGUGUUUGGGUGUCAAACCCAUACGCGUAAUGAAAGUGAACGGAGGUGAGAACCCUUAAGGGUGCAUCAUCGACCGAUCCUGAUGUCUUCGGAUGGAUUUGAGUAAGAGCAUAGCUGUUGGGACCCGAAAGAUGGUGAACUAUGCCUGAAUAGGGUGAAGCCAGAGGAAACUCUGGUGGAGGCUCGCAGCGGUUCUGACGUGCAAAUCGAUCGUCAAAUUUGGGCAUAGGGGCGAAAGACUAAUCGAACCAUCCGUAUGGCACGGAGGAUAUCUCCUAUAAAUGCUCUCUUUGGACAAGAGCAGUUGCUAGGUGGUUAAGAGGCUACCCUAAUAGGUAGCCUAGUCCUAGGCCUAGGGCAACAUUGUCAAAUUGUUCGGGGACGUCCUGUUAAUGCUAAGCUACCGCAGCCUCUCCGAAAGGGAGGUGCGCACCAGGUGUAAUGGCCUCGGGGAAUGGUAACAACGCUUAGUUAGGGAUAAUCCGCAGCCAAGCCCUGUCGGGACACCCUAGAGUGUCCCUAUGGGUGCAGUUCACAGACUAGAUGUCAGUGGGUGCUACGUAGGUAGUGCUUAAGGUAUAGUCGAGCCGCUGAGAGAUCAGUCGAGUGGAGGAAAGGUGUUGGGGGGGCCAUGUACGCCUUGGUGUACAUCCCUAGCACUCGGAGCCACUCGGGGGGUAGAACGAGCACGAUCCGCAGAGGGUGUGUUCUAGUCUAGCCCUGGGAUGAGUAGNAANAGUUGGCUUCCCUAAUGGAUACGUGGUCAUGCUGGGCCGUCCACAAAGGAUGUUGAUGUCGAGCUACUCA
rnacentral:rRNA from 1 species